UGCUUGCACCUGAUUGACGAUGGAUCACCAGUGAGUGGCGGACGGGUGAGUAACACGUAGGUAACCUGCCCCGGAGCGGGGGAUAACAUUUGGAAACAGAUGCUAAUACCGCAUAACAACAAAAGCCACAUGGCUUUUGUUUGAAAGAUGGCUUUAGCUAUCACUCUGGGAUGGACCUGCGGUGCAUUAGCUAGUUGGUAAGGUAACGGCUUACCAAGGCGAUGAUGCAUAGCCGAGUUGAGAGACUGAUCGGCCACAAUGGAACUGAGACACGGUCCAUACUCCUACGGGAGGCAGCAGUAGGGAAUCUUCCACAAUGGGCGCAAGCCUGAUGGAGCAACACCGCGUGAGUGAAGAAGGGUUUCGGCUCGUAAAGCUCUGUUGUUGGAGAAGAACGUGCGUGAGAGUAACUGUUCACGCAGUGACGGUAUCCAACCAGAAAGUCACGGCUAACUACGUGCCAGCAGCCGCGGUAAUACGUAGGUGGCAAGCGUUAUCCGGAUUUAUUGGGCGUAAAGCGAGCGCAGGCGGUUGCUUAGGUCUGAUGUGAAAGCCUUCGGCUUAACCGAAGAAGUGCAUCGGAAACCGGGCAACUUGAGUGCAGAAGAGGACAGUGGAACUCCAUGUGUAGCGGUGGAAUGCGUAGAUAUAUGGAAGAACACCAGUGGCGAAGGCGGCUGUCUGGUCUGCAACUGACGCUGAGGCUCGAAAGCAUGGGUAGCGAACAGGAUUAGAUACCCUGGUAGUCCAUGCCGUAAACGAUGAAUGCUAGGUGUUGGAGGGUUUCCGCCCUUCA
rnacentral:rRNA from 1 species